rnacentral:rRNA from 1 species
CGGGUAGCGGAACACGUACAGAACCUUCCUUUAAGCGGGGGAUAGCCCAUAGAAAUGUGGAUUAAUACCCCAUAGUAAUAUUGACUGGCAUCAGUUGGUAUUUAAAGAUUUAUCACUUAAAGAUGGCUGUGCGGCUGAUUAGGUAGUUGGUGUGGGUAACGGCCCACCAAGCCAUCGAUCAGUAACUGGUGUGAGAGCACGACCAGUCACACGGGCACUGAGACACGGGCCCG